UACGGGGGGAGCAAGCGUUGUUCGGAUUUACUGGGCGUAAAGGGCGCGUAGGCGGCCACCGCAAGUCGGUUGUGAAAUCUCUGGGCUUAACCCAGAAAGGUCAACCGAUACUGCGGGGCUAGAGUGCAGAAGGGGCAACUGGAAUUCUCGGUGUAGCGGUGAAAUGCGUAGAUAUCGAGAGGAACACCUGCGGCGAAGGCGGGUUGCUGGGCCGA
rnacentral:rRNA from 1 species